rnacentral:rRNA from 1 species
AGAACUUAGCAGAGAUGCUUUGGUGCCUUCGGGGAACUCUGAGACAGGUGCUGCAUGGCUGUCGUCAGCUCGUGUUGUGAAAUGUUGGGUUAAGUCCCGCAACGAGCGCAACCCUUAUCCUUUGUUGCCAGCGAUUCGGUCGGGAACUCAAAGGAGACUGCCAGUGAUAAACUGGAGGAAGGUGGGGAUGACGUCAAGUCAUCAUGGCCCUUACGAGUAGGGCUACACACGUGCUACAAUGGCGCAUACAAAGAGAAGCGACCUCGCGAGAGCAAGCGGACCUCAUAAAGUGCGUCGUAGUCCGGAUUGGAGUCUGCAACUCGACUCCAUGAAGUCGGAAUCGCUAGUAAUCGUAGAUCAGAAUGCUACGGUGAAUACGUUCCCGGGCCUUGUACACACCGCCCGUCACACCAUGGGAGUGGGUUGCAAAAGAAGUAGGUAGCUUAACUUUCGGGAGGGCGCUUACCACUUUGUGAUUCAUGACUGGGGUGAAGUCGUAACAAGGUAAGCGUAGUGCU